CAAGUCGCGUGCGCAGUUUCCGUAGCAAUACGGAGAUGGGCGCACGGCGCACGGGUGCGUAACACGUGGGCAAUCUGCCCUUUGAUGGGGAAUAACCCGCCGAAAGGCGGGCUAAUUCCGCAUAAGAUUCCCGGAACUUCGGUUCUGGGAUUGAAAGCAGCAAUGCGUCGAAGGAGGAGCCCGCGCCCGAUUAGCUAGUUGGUGAGGUAACGGCUCACCAAGGCUAUGAUCGGUAGCUGGUCUGAGAGGAUGAUCAGCCACACUGGAACUGAGACACGGUCCAGACUCCUACGGGAGGCAGCAGUGGGGAAUCUUGCACAAUGGGCGAAAGCCUGAUGCAGCGACGCCGCGUGGGGGAUGAAGCAUUUCGGUGUGUAAACCCCUUUCGACUGGGAAGAAUACCUCGCAAAAGGGGUGACGGUACCAGUAGAAGAAGCCCCGGCUAACUACGUGCCAGCAGCCGCGGUAAGACGUAGGGGGCCAGCGUUGUUCGGAAUUACUGGGUGUAAAGGGUUCGUAGGCGGUGCGGCAAGUUGGGAGUGAAAUCUCUGGGCUUAACCCAGAGGCUGCUUCCAAAACUGCUGUGCUCGAGUGUGAGAGAGGCGCGUGGAAUUGCAGGUGUAGCGGUGAAAUGCGUAGAUAUCUGCAGGAACACCCGUGGCGAAAGCGGCGCGCUGGAUCACUACUGACGCUGAGGAACGAAAGCUAGGGGAGCAAACAGGAUUAGAUACCCUGGUAGUCCUAGCCCUAAACGAUCAGGACUUGGGGUGCCGCCCGUUCGGGCGUCGUCCCGGAGCUAACGCGUUAAGUCCUGCACCUGGGGAGUACGGUCGCAAGACUGAAACUCAAAGGAAUUGACG
rnacentral:rRNA from 1 species